AUCUCAUCAAUGAGCUUUUUCUGUUGUCUCAAGCUUUAAAUUUAAUAUACCCACCUCUUUUUUGUUGUUGGGUUGGUGGCAAAUUCAAUGCUUUAACUUCUUCUAGGCUCAACAUCCCAUCCCCUCUCACCUUCCCCCAUCUCUCUCACACUCAUACUCCCAUAUUAAAUAAUGGUGAUCUCACUCACAGGACAUCUCUUAUUCACUUUUAAAAACCACUACUUCUCAUCUUCUCUGCCUCCAUUGCUUCUCUUUCUGCAUUCUUUCUUUAUGGUACUAGCUAGUUUCUUGCAGCUCCUUGCUAAUAUCAGAUAUAAUAGCUGAAUUUUUCCCAGAGAGAGACAGGUGAGUAAUGAAGGUGAGAUAAGUUGAAAAAAGAAACAAAAGGAGUUGUAUGAUCAAAGUCUAAUGUUUUAUCAGUUAAUAUUGAUUUUCUAUUUUCCUUUGUUUCAGAAAAAGAAAACCCUAAGUGUAAAUGAACUUUUCCGGUGGUAGGUGAAGAAGCAGACAUAAAUUUUCCUCUGCAAUCGAUUGUUCCUUCUGGGUAAAGGUCGACCACUUUGCGGACAAAGUGAUAUGAGUAGGUGACCAGAUUUGAUCUUCUUCUCUUUUUCAUUAUUAACGCUUUUUUAAUAAUCAUAAUAAAGUUUCAAAACCAAACCCCUUGUAAAAAAAGGACGAAAAGAUAUUAUUAUUAUUAUAACUUUUGGGCUGUAUGGUUGUGGGAUUACUUUUUCUAUUACGGGUUUGUUAGGUCAAGUCUGUUAACUAUCCACUGUAGCAAAAGGCAGCAGGUGGUUUAUUAUUCGAGCAAGAAACUGAUUUUCCUGCAUUGGAAUGAAAUUGAACUCCUCGAAGUUCAUCACGGGACUUUUUUCAUUUU